GCGCGGAUAGGCUAAGGGCAGACCGCCCGCCAAGCGGGAAAUGGCGGUUCGAUUCCGCACUCCGCGCU
rnacentral:tRNA from 1 species